CGUCUGUGAUGAAAAAAUUUUAUCAGUUCUGCUUCUGAAGCUACGGAUGAAAAUCUAUUACCAAAUACUAUUCUGAGAC
rnacentral:snoRNA from 1 species